GAUAAACGCUGGCGGCGCACAUAAGACAUGCAAGUCGAACGAACUUAACCAUUAGUUUACUAUUGGAGCGGUUAGUGGCGGACUGGUGAGUAACACGUAAGCAACCUGCCUAUCAGAGGGGAACAACAGUUAGAAAUGACUGCUAAUACCGCAUAUGCCUAAGUACCACAUGGUACAAUAGGGAAAGGAGAAAUCCGCUGAUAGAUGGGCUUGCGUCUGAUUAGAUAGUUGGUGGGGUAAUGGCCUACCAAGUCAACGAUCAGUAGCCGGACUGAGAGGUUGAACGGCCACAUUGGGACUGAGAUACGGCCCAG
rnacentral:rRNA from 1 species